rnacentral:sRNA from 1 species
UUUUCUUUUUCUGUUUUGAUGAAAUCACAUAGCAAAAGAGACUAAAAGGGAUGGUUCUGUAG